UAGUAUUCAAUUGUCAGAGGUGAAAUUCUUGGAUUUUUGAAGACUAACUACUGCGAAAGCAUUUGCCAAGGAUGUUUUCAUUAAUCAAGAACGAAAGUUAGGGGAUCGAAGACGAUCAGAUACCGUCGUAGUCUUAACCAUAAACUAUGCCGACUAGGGAUCGGAUGAUGUUAAUUUUUUAAUGACUCA
rnacentral:rRNA from 1 species